rnacentral:tRNA from 1 species
UCUAAUAUGGCAGAAUAGUGCAUUGGAUUUAAAUCCCAAAUAUAAAGCUCCCCCUCUUUUUUUAGAA